UACGGAGGGGGCUAGCGUUGUUCGGAAUUACUGGGCGUAAAGCGCACGUAGGCGGCUUUGUAAGUUAGAGGUGAAAGCCCAGGGCUUAACCCUGGAAUUGCCUUUAAGACUGCAUCGCUAGAAUCGUGGAGAGGUGAGUGGAAUUCCGAGUGUAGAGGUGAAAUUCGUAGAUAUUCGGAAGAACACCUGUGGCGAAGGCGGCCAUCUGGACGACAAUUGACGCUGAGACGCGAAAGCGUGGGUAGCAAACAGG
rnacentral:rRNA from 1 species